CGCAGCCGCGGUAAUUCCAGCUCCAAUAGCGUAUAUUAAAGUUGUUGCAGUUAAAAAGCUCGUAGUUGAAUUUCGGGAUUAGUACGUUGGUCGUGCCUUCGGUACGUACUGGUGUUACUGAUUCCUACCUUCUGACGAACCAUCAUGUCAUUAAUUUGGUGUGGUGGGGAAUCAGGACUGUUACUUUGAAAAAAUUAGAGUGUUUAAAGCAGGCUCGCGCUUGAAUACAUUAGCAUGGAAUAAUGAAAUAGGACGUUGAUCCUAUUUUGUUGGUUUCUAGGAUUGACGUAAUGAUUAAUAGGGAUAGUUGGGGGCAUUAGUAUUCAAUUGUCAGAGGUGAAAUUCUUGGAUUUAUUGAAGACUAACUACUGCGAAAGCAUUUGCCAAGGAUGUUUUCAUUAAUCAAGAACGAAAGUUAGGGGAUCGAAGACGAUCAGAUACCGUCGUAGUCUUAACCAUAAACUAUGCCGACUAGGGAUCGGAUGAUGUUAUUUUUAAUGUACUCAUUCGGCGCCUUACG
rnacentral:rRNA from 1 species